rnacentral:sRNA from 1 species
UCUUCGAACGUCGACAAUCCAAAUAUGCAAGUGCUCGUUCUUGAAAAACAAACGGUCGAAAUCCCUCUUACGUCAUGAUGAUGUCGUGAGUUCAAUCCAAAAUGGU